GUGCCUACGGGACGCAGCAGUGAGGAAUAUUGGUCAAUGGGCGCGAGCCUGAACUAGCCAAGUCGCGUGAGGGAAGACGGUCCUAUGGAUUGUAAACCUCUUUUGUCGGGGAGCAAAAGACGCCACGCGUGGCGUUCCGAGAGUACCCGAAGAAAAAGCAUCGGCUAACUCCGUGCCGGCAGCCGCGGUAAUACGGAGGAUGCGAGCGUUAUCCGGAUUUAUUGGGCUUAAAGGGUGCGCAGGCGGAAGAUCACGUCAGCGGUAAAAUUGAGAGGCUCCACCUCUUCGAGCCGUUGAAACUGGUU
rnacentral:rRNA from 1 species